rnacentral:misc_RNA from 1 species
GAUGAAGAACGUAGCGAAAUGCGUUAAGUAAUGCGAAUUGCAGAAUUUCCGUGAGUCAUCGAAUCUUUGAACGCACAUUGCGCCCACUGGUAUUCCGGUGGGCAUGCCUGUUCGAGCGUCAUUAUCCUCCCUCAAACCUCGGGUUUGGUGUUGGACCCAAGUUGUGUGAACAACUGGUCUUAAAGACAAUGACGGCGUCCGUGGGACCCUCGGUGCAACGAGCUUUUAGGAGCACGCGUCGAGUUUCAAGGACCUUCCGGGCCGGUCUCCUUUACCAUUUUACAAGGUUGACCUCGGAUCAGGUAGGAAUACCCGCUGAACUUAAGCAUAUCAAUAAGCGGAGGA